UCGAAUGUGUCCCUCUCAAAUUGCUAUGUUGUGGCCCUAACUCCCAAUGUGACUGUAUUUGGAAAAAGGGCCUAUAAGGAGAUAAUGAAGGUUAAGUGAGGUCAUAAGGGUGAGGCCCUCGUGUCACACGAUUGGUGUUCUUAUAAGAAGAGAGACAUCAGGGUUCUCCUUCUCUGCCACGUGAGGACACAGCGAGAAAGAAGCCAUCUGAAAGCCACUAGGAGGGCCCUUACCAUGAACCACAUGAGCCAGCACCUUGAUCUUGAACCUCCCAGCCUCCUGAACUAUGGAAACCCAAAUUUCUCUUAUUUAAGUCAACCAAAUCUCUGGUCUUUUGUUAUGGCAGUGCAAACUGACUAAUGCAAUUACUGUGAGAAAGGGUUUUUUUUUUUCUUUAAAUAAUCUUUUAAUUUCAGAAUAAUUUUACUUCUACAGGAAAGUUGCAAAGAGAGUUCACAGAGUUCCUGUAUACGCUUCAUCCCAUUUUCUUUGAUGUCGACAUCCCACAUGACCAAGGUAACCUUAAGGAAUUAACACUGGUACAUUACUAUUAAGUAAGCAACAAAUGUUAUUUGGAUAGCACCAGGUCAUUACUAUUUUCUCAUUUCUGCUUUAGGAUCUCAUUCAGGAUAUCACUGGACUGCACUUCAUGUGUUUUAUUUGUAUUUCGCUGAUGAGAAAAGGAAUCCAGUUGGGUCAAUUAGCUUACCCACAUUCACAUCUGCCUGUUCAUGGCUGUCGCAACCACACAGCAAAGGCACUCGAGAAAAAUGCCUAUAUCCAUAGAGGCACUAUUGACACCAUGCAAGCAACAGAACCAUCUGGGGGUAGAAAAGCCACAAGAAAAAUCACGGCUCAUUCUAUUACUUCUUGGGUGAUUAAUGGAAAUCUGGCAUGUCAUGCACAAAUAUUUUCUAUCUAGAUUUCACAUCAUGGAACUAGUAGGAAUGCAGCGCAAAGUGACAAAAGUACUCAACAUUGAGUCUUAAUUAGGCUUGAUCACAAAGCCUGACAGUCACUGCCUCAAGGACACUAUUCCUUUUGUGCCUGGCAAAUAACAGGUACGCCCAAGUGUUUAUUAGAUGAAUAUUUAAUUUUCCAGUCUAAACGGGUUGGAAAGUUUGAUCUUCGUAUUUU